GUAACAUAAAUCUCAUUUAACAUAUACAUAUACAUAUGUAUAAUCGAUCGAUAUGAAGUGAAAAGUAAUUACAAGCCAAGUAAUUCUUCUUCAGGAGUAACGACGAUCAGUUUGCUGGAAAAAUAACGGCUUCUUAAUGAUCUACUGUAUUGUGUAUAGUAUAAGCAAUGUUUAGAAGUUCCAUUUUCGUCAAUUCAAGCUUUAACACAAAACAAGAUGCCAUUGAUCAUUUGAAGUAUACGAUUGAAAUACCUUUUGAAUUUGCCAAUGAGCAAUAACUACUGUGUGCAUUUGCGAUGCAACCUUGGAUUGCAAUAUGCAUUUUGGUGGGCUGCCAAUUCGAUUUGCCAGUUUGCAGUUACAGUCAGUCUCUGGGCCUCCACCCCCGCCACCCCUGCCAUCGCCUUCUUCGUCGUCAUCGUUGCCAUUGGCCAUUGGCGCGUAUCAUUGUUAACAUGGCUAAAUUAUAUAAGCGUUUCUGGCCUUCAACAACGACAGUGAGAAUUGCUAUAUAUAUUUGCGUGUGUGAGCUUAAAUUGCAGGUUGAUUUUAGCUGCUGGCCUCUGGCAAAUGAAAUUUGCAGAGCAUCGCAUAAAACGAAAUGAAAUGCGGCACACGCAUUUGGCAAAGGAUAACACUCGACCACAACCAGCCAUGGUCCAAAAGAGAAGAGCCUGCCAGACAUUUCUCCUCCAAACCAAACCGAAUCGAAAUUACAACUGAAACCGAGUAUUUGGCUGGCACUGGACACCCACAUGAUGACUCCUUAAAGGGUUUCUGGAUUCGCUUAAAUGAAACAUAAAUGCGUUAUUUUUAAUUUGUAUUCUAUCAUUUAUUGUGAGUUCUGGCGAUUCUUAAAAACUUCAUAAUUAGCCUGCCAUUUUCUCUAAGCAGCAAAUGUAAUUAUUAUCACAAGAGAAACUGUAAAUAAAGUAUACAUUAUAACAAAAAAAA